rnacentral:rRNA from 1 species
GUAAGGAAUAUUGGACAAUGGACGCAAGUCUGAUCCAGCCAUGCCGCGUUAAGGAUUAAGGUCCUCUGGAUUGUAAACUUCUUUUAUAAGGGACGAAAAAAGGCUUUUCUAAGUCGUCUGACGGUACCUUAUGAAUAAGCACCGGCUAACUCCGUGCCAGCAGCCGCGGUAAUACGGAGGGUGCAAGCGUUAUCCGGACUCACUGGGUUUAAAGGGUGCGUAGGCGGGCAGGUAAGUCAGUGGUGAAAUCCUAGAGCUUAACUCUAGAACUGCCAUUGAUACUAUCUGUCUUGAAUAUUGUGGAGGUAAGCGGAAUAUGUCAUGUAGCGGUGAAAUGCUUAGAUAUGACAUAGAACACCUAUUGCGAAGGCAGCUUACUACGCAUAUAUUGACGCUGAGGCACGAAAGCGUGGGGAUCAAACAGGAUUAGAUACCCGAGUAGUCC